rfam:Schistosoma rodhaini strain Burundi genome assembly, scaffold: SROB_scaffold0004916
AUCCAGUUGACAAGUCCAAAAUAGGACGAAAUGCUCAUCGAACUGGAU